rnacentral:lncRNA from 1 species
GCUGUGGGCUGGUGUUGCAGUGUGUUGUUAAACAGCUGCCACGCGCUACCCAGAGGCGCUUGUGCUCCGGCAGUGGGUGGGUUUGGCACGCUCAAGGAUUCUGAGAGAGCAGCAACAAGGGCACUGGCUCAGGCUGCUGCUUGCCUCCCCAGCUCCCCAGCAUGGCUAAGGCACUGCUGGCUCUCUCUGCUCUUUCUCACACAGCUGAAAUCUGGACAACACCUUCCCUUUUUCUGAUCUUCCAUCCCAGCCACAGCCAGGGAUGUGGAGCAGCUGAGGAGUCCAGCGCAGCCAAACACGCCUUGUUUGGGGCUUGGGGCAGCACCACGUGCACCGUGUCCUGUCCAGUUUUGACCUCUCAGAAAAUGCUGCUGUGCCACGGGCCCCCAAGGACAGCUGGGGUUGAUAGCAAUAAAAAAGAAAAUCCCCUGUCAAGCUG